CCAGACUCCUACGGGAGGCAGCAGUGAGGAAUAUUGGUCAAUGGCCGAGAGGCUGAACCAGCCAAGCCGCGUGAAGGACGAAGGUGCCAAGCAUUGUAAACUUCUUUUGUCAAGGGACAAAAUCAGGCUCGAGAGCCUGACCGAGGGUACUUGAAGAAAAAGCAUCGGCUAACUCCGUGCCAGCAGCCGCGGUAAUACGGAGGAUGCGAGCGUUAUCCGGAUUUAUUGGGUUUAAAGGGUGCGUAGGCGGGCUUUAAAUGCGGCGGAAAAACCCGGGGCCCAAACCCCGGCGAGCCGUUGAAGCUGGCGUUCUUGAGUGAGCGAGAAGUAUGCGGAAUGCGUGGUGUAGCGGUGAAAUGCAUAGAUAUCACGCAGAACUCCGAUUGCGAAGGCAGCAUACCGGCGCUCAACUGACGCUCAUGCACGAAAGCGUGGGUAUCGAACAGGAUUAGAUACCCCAGUAGC
rnacentral:rRNA from 1 species